CCUACGGGGGGCUGCAGUGGGGAAUAUUGGACAAUGGGCGAAAGCCUGAUCCAGCCAUGCCGCGUGUGUGAAGAAGGCCUUCGGGUUGUAAAGCACUUUCAGUGGGGAAGAAAGCCUUGGGGCUAAUACCCUCGAGGAAGGACAUCACCCACAGAAGAAGCACCGGCUAACUCCGUGCCAGCAGCCGCGGUAAUACGGAGGGUGCGAGCGUUAAUCGGAAUUACUGGGCGUAAAGCGCGCGUAGGCGGUCUGAUAAGCCGGUUGUGAAAGCCCCGGGCUCAACCUGGGAACGGCAUCCGGAACUGUCAGGCUAGAGUGCAGGAGAGGAAGGUAGAAUUCCCGGUGUAGUGGUGAAAUGCGUAGAGAUCGGGAGGAAUACCAGUGGCGAAGGCGGCCUUCUGGACUGACACUGACGCUGAGGUGCGAAAGCGUGGGUAGCAAACAGGAUUAGAUACCCGAGUAGUC
rnacentral:rRNA from 1 species